CCAUACCACCCUGAACAGGCCUGAUCUUGUCUGAUCUAGGCAGCUAAGCAGGGUCAGGCCUGGUUAGUACUUGGAUGGGAGAGACAGUGACCAAGGAG
rnacentral:rRNA from 1 species